rnacentral:pre_miRNA from 1 species
UGUUAAGGAUGAGCAAAGAAAGUGAUUUCUUGAGAUGGAAUCUAACUCCUAGUGAAGAUGCUGUUAA